GAUGAACGCUGGCGGCGUGCCUAAUACAUGCAAGUCGAGCGAACAGACGAGGAGCUUGCUCCUCUGACGUUAGCGGCGGACGGGUGAGUAACACGUGGAUAACCUACCUAUAAGACUGGUAUAACUUCGGGAAACCGGAGCUAAUACCGGAUAAUAUAUUGAACCGCAUGGUUCAAUAGUGAAAGACGGUUUUGCUGUCACUUAUAGAUUGAUCCGCGCCGCAUUAGCUAGUUGGUAAGGUAACGGCUUACCAAGGCAACGAUGCGUAGCCGACCUGAGAGGGUGAUCGGCCACACUGGAACUGAGACACGGUCCAGACUCCUACGGGAGGCAGCAGUAGGGAAUCUUCCGCAAUGGGCGAAAGCCUGACGGAGCAACGCCGCGUGAGUGAUGAAGGUCUUCGGAUCGUAAAACUCUGUUAUUAGGGAAGAACAAAUGUGUAAGUAACUAUGCACGUCUUGACGGUACCUAAUCAGAAAGCCACGGCUAACUACGUG
rnacentral:rRNA from 1 species